rnacentral:tRNA from 1 species
GGAGGUGUAGCCCGGUGGUAACGUCACCAAACUAUCACCCCGGAGGACGUGUGUUCGAAUCCCACCACCACCA